rnacentral:lncRNA from 1 species
CCGGAAGUGGUGUUGCGGAGGGAACUGUGGGGAGAGCAGAGGGGCAGCUCUGCUGGAGAGACCUGAGGCUUGCAUCGCUGGGCCCGGCCGGGUCGCUGCGGCUGGGCUGGAGGUGAGGCGAAAGAAGGGCAUCCUCUGAUGGGAGUGGACCGGAGUCCGCUAAAGCGAAGCAUUCCAGGGUCAAGGAUGCAUUCCAGGAAAGUUCUAUAAAAAUAUACCAUCAACUCCAACCUGAUAUUUGACCUAGCCAUGGAAAACCUCAUUGGCUCCUCACUGGAUCAGACCAUAAAAAUGAUCCAGGAAUGAAAAUCUAAGAUAAAUUCCCACCACUUCAAGAUGUUCUUAUACAAGUCAACAGUCUAGCAGAUCAGCCAGUCUCUUUCAUCAUCAAGCAGACAUACUCAAGAAAGAGGAAUAGUGAAGUGAAAUACACAGAAGCAUGUUCAAGUUCAUCUGUUGAAUCUGGAAUUGUGAAUAGUGACAAUAUUGAGAAAAAUACUGACUCCAAUCUGCAAACUUCAACUUCAUUUGAGCCACAUUUCAAAAAGAAAAAAGUAAGUGCAAGACGUUAUAAUGAAGAUUACUUAAAAUAUGGCUUUAUCAAAUGUGAAAAACCCUUUGAAAAUGACAGACCUCAGUGUGUUAUUUGUAAUAAUAUUCUUGCGAAUGAAAGCUUAAAACCUUCGAAAUUAAAAAGGCACUUAGAAACUCAGCAUGCUGAACUUAUUGAUAAGCCUCUUGAAUAUUUUCAAAGAAAGAAAAAAGACAUAAAGUUAUCAACACAAUUUCUUAGUUGUUCUACUGCUGUUAGUGAGAAAGCCUUAUUAUCAUCAUAUUUAGUUGCAUAUCGUGUGGCAAAAGAGAAAAUAGCUAACACAGCUGCUGAAAAAAUUAUUCUUCCAGCAUGUUUGGAUAUGGUGCGUACAAUAUUUGAUGAUAAAUCAGCUGAUAAAUUAAAAACUAUACCUAAUGAUAACACAGUAUCUCUUCGAAUUUGUACUAUUGCAGAACAUUUAGAAACAAUGCUUAUUACUCGUUUACAGUCUGGUAUAGAUUUUGCAAUCCAGCUUGAUGAAAGCACUGAUAUUGGAAGCUGCACAACACUUUUAGUUUAUGUCAGAUAUGCGUGGCAAGAUGAUUUUUUGGAGGAUUUUUUGUGUUUUUUAAAUUUAACCUCACACCUAAGUGGUUUAGAUAUUUUUACAGAAUUAGAAAGGCACAUAGUUGGCCAAUAUAAAUUAAACUGGAAAAACUGUAAAGGAAUUACAAGUGAUGGCACAGCAACCAUGACUGGAAAACAUAGCAGAGUAAUUAAAAAAUUACUAGAAGUUACUAAUAAUGGUGCUGUGUGGAAUCAUUGUUUUAUACAUCGUGAAGGUUUAGCAUCCAGAGAAAUUCCACAGAAUCUCAUGGAAGUAUUGAAAAAUGCAGUGAAAGUUGUUAAUUUUAUUAAAGGAAGCUCAUUGAAUAGCCGGCUUCUUGAAACAUUUUGUUCAGAGAUUGGAACUAAUCAUACCCACUUACUAUAUCAUACCAAAAUUCGUUGGUUGUCUCAAGGGAAAAUACUAAGCAGGGUUUAUGAGCUCAGGAAUGAGAUUCACUUUUUUCUCAUUGAAAAAAAAUCUCAUUUGGCAAGUAUUUUUGAAGAUGAUACUUGGGUAACAAAAUUGGCAUAUUUAACUGAUAUUUUUAGCAUUCUUAAUGAACUGAGUUUAAAACUACAGGGGAAAAACAGUGAUGUAUUCCAACAUGUUGAACAUAUCCAGGGAUUUCGAAAGACAUUAUUGUUAUGGCAAGUAAGACUUAAAAGUAAUCGUCCUAGCUAUUACAUGUUUCCAAGAUUUUUG